GCCACCCUCUCUUAAAGAGCACCUGGGAUUUGUUUUCAUCAGAAAACAUAAAGGCCAAUUGGCUUUGUUCAGUUAUGCUAACGUGAAAUAAAAGAGAAAGAUGAAUUAAGGAGGUUGCUGUUCCACGUCCUAUCAGAAGUCAGAGGACAUAUUUCCAAGCCAGGUCUUGCUGAGUUGGAAAAUCAAAACUCUUUCUCAUUUCCAACCUUUCCAGGCAGCAAAAAGUUCUGAAGCUUUGGCCAGUGGGAUGCCAGCAAGAAUGAUUCAAGCCGAGGCCCCAUAAAUGCUUGCGCAUGGCUUCCAUGCUAGAAGGAAGUCCAGCUAUUCUGCCUGGCCACGUGGGGGGACUCUGCAUAAUGAGACAUCACACAAAGGCAAGUCACAUGCAAGACAAAGAGGCACUCCAGUGAAUCCCCAGCCGAGUGCCACCAAAGGAGGGACCCUGAAGACCCCAAUCACAGAAUUGCAAAAAAUAAUAAAUCAAUAUUGUCUUAAGCCAUAA